rnacentral:lncRNA from 1 species
UCUGCAUCAUUCUAUACAACAACAGAGCAGACAUCUUUGCUCUAUCCCUUACAGAAUCUACAUCUUGUUCAUCUGCAAACUCGCAUCUUUCUAGAAAACUCGUCGAUUUAUCAGGCUUGUGUCUUAAAGUUAGCAACAAAUGCGCUCUUUCCAGUUCUGAUCUUGAACAACCCCACUUCAAACCAAUCAAUGCAUAGUAAUCUACAUUCCCCGUUUCGCCAUUUGCAACCCUCUUCUUCAAUUCUUGAAUCUUAGUAGCCAAGGAACAAAGCAUCCCUGGAAUUUCCCUGUAUUCCACGUUUUGACGCUUCCAUAUUGGUCCUGAUAAUUUCCUAUCGCGUAGAAUUGAAUUGUACAAUAGUUUUAAGUGCUCCAAAUCGUGAAGACUAUAGGGCAAGCAUCUUAUGGUUUCAAAUAGUGCAGCCCUGGUCCUAAGAGCAUCAAUGCAAGAAGGGUCCAACGCUAAAGUUCGAUUGCAAUCAGCUAUUGCCUCUGCAGUUCGACCAGAGGAACGAUAUGCUAAUGCUCGAUGCAUAUAACAUUCUGCCAUGAAUCCCUGAGGGGGCACCACCGACGACCCAUCCACCAAAAUUUUUUGAGUAAAAUGUCUAAUAGCUUCUGAGUAAAAGACCGCGAUCAGAGCUGCAAUUGCUGCAGUUUUUCGUCGUAAAGAGUAGCUGUAUAUGACUGAGAAANNNNNNNNNNNNNNNNNNNNNNNNNCCAAUCAAUGGCAUAGGUAAUCUACAUUCCCCGUUUCGCCAUUUGCAACCCUCUUCUUCAAUUCUUGAAUCUUAGUAGCCAAGGAACAAAGCAUCCCUGGAAUUUCCCUGUAUUCCACGUUUUGACGCUUCCAUAUUGGUCCUGAUAAUUUCCUAUCGCGUAGAAU